AUGUAAGAUAAUCUCUGUCACUCAGUGGGAUAUAUUACUAUAAAGAAACUGAUCUUAGGUAGUUUUCCUUCCACUCAAACAUCUUGU
rnacentral:pre_miRNA from 1 species